UUACUUUAUCAGCAAAUAUACUAAAACCAGAAUGAUACAAAGAACAUUAGCAUGGCCCUGUACAAGGAUGACAUGCAAAUUCAUAAUGCUUUCCAUAUUUUU